rnacentral:rRNA from 1 species
UACCAGCACCCCGAGUGGUCGGGACGAUUAUUGGGCCUAAAGCAUCCGUAGGCGGCUUUGCAAGUCGGAUGUGAAAUCCCUCGGCUCAACCAAGGAAGUGCAUCCGAAACUGCAGAGCUUGAGUACCAAAGAGGAUCGCGGAAUUCCCGGUGUAGAGGUGAAAUUCGUAGAUAUCGGGAGGAACACCAGUGGCGAAGGCGGCGAUCUGGGUGGAUACUGACGCUGAGGUGCGAAAGCGUGGGGAGCAAACAGG